rnacentral:rRNA from 1 species
UGGGGAAUAUUGCACAAUGGGCGCAAGCCUGAUGCAGCCAUGCCGCGUGUAUGAAGAAGGCCUUCGGGUUGUAAAGUACUUUCAGCGGGGAGGAAGGUGUUGAGGCUAAUAACCUCAGCAAUUGACGUUACCCGCAGAAGAAGCACCGGCUAACUCCGUGCCAGCAGCCGCGGUAAUACGGAGGGUGCAAGCGUUAAUCGGAAUUACUGGGCGUAAAGCGCACGCAGGCGGUCGGUCAAGUCGGAUGUGAAAUCCCCGGGCUCAACCUGGGAACUGCAUUCGAAACUGGCAGGCUAGAGUCUUGUAGAGGGGGGUAGAAUUCCAGGUGUAGCGGUGAAAUGCGUAGAGAUCUGGAGGAAUACCGGUGGCGAAGGCGGCCCCCUGGACAAAGACUGACGCUCAGGUGCGAAAGCGUGGGGAGCAAACA